UACGGAGGGGGCUAGCGUUGUUCGGAAUUACUGGGCGUAAAGCGCACGUAGGCGGACCUGUUAAGUCGGGGGUGAAAUCCUGGGGCUCAACCUCAGAAUUGCCUCCGAUACUGGCAGUCUCGAGUGCGGGAGAGGUGAGUGGAAUUCCCAGUGUAGAGGUGAAAUUCGUAGAUAUUGGGAAGAACACCAGUGGCGAAGGCGGCUCACUGGCCCGUAACUGACGCUGAGGUGCGAAAGCGUGGGGAGCAAACAGG
rnacentral:rRNA from 1 species